UGCGUAGGCGGAUUGAUAAGUCAGUGGUGAAAACCUUCAGCUUAACUGGAGACUUGCCAUUGAUACUGUUAGUCUUGAGUACGGUCAAGGUAGGCGGAAUGUGUAAUGUAGCGGUGAAAUGCUUAGAUAUUACACAGAACACCGAUUACGAAGGCAGCUUACUGGGCCAUUACUGACGCUGAGGCACGAAAGCGUGGGGAGCGAACAGGAUUAGAUACCCUGGUAGUC
rnacentral:rRNA from 1 species